AAGAGUCCACAUCGACGGGGAGGUUUGGCACCUCGAUGUCGGCUCAUCACAUCCUGGGGCUGUAGUAGGUCCCAAGGGUUGGGCUGUUCGCCCAUUAAAGUGGUACGCGAGCUGGGUUCAGAACGUCGUGAGACAGUUCGGUCCCUAUCCGUCGCAGGCGUAGGAAAUUUGAGAAGACCUGUCCUUAGUACGAGAGGACCGGGAUGGACGUACCUCUGGUGUACCAGUUGUUCUGCCAAGGGCAUGGCUGGGUAGCUAUGUACGGAAUGGAUAAGCGCUGAAAGCAUCUAAGCGCGAAGCCAACUUCAAGAUAAGAUUUCCCACCGCAAGGGUAAGACCCCAGAAAGACUAUCUGGUUGAUAGGUCGAAGGUGUAAGUGCAGCAAUGUAUUUAGCUUAUCGAUACUAAUAGGUCGAGGACUUGACCAAAUU
rnacentral:rRNA from 1 species